rnacentral:tRNA from 1 species
GGGCGUGUGGCCCAGCCAGGAUAGGGCGGCAGCCUCCUAAGCUGCAAGCCGCGGGUUCAAAUCCCGCCACGCCCG